AAAGUAAUUCAUUUAUAUACUUUUUCAAGUUCUUUUCCAUUAUAAUUACCGGAUAUUGAAUAUAAUUCCAUGUGUUAUACAGUAGGUCCUUGUUCAUUUUAUUAAGGCCCAAUGUUAAACACAAAGCCAUAUAAGUAUUAGUGAAAAUGUAAGACUGUAAUCGUAAGGUAGGAAAAGUUUCAGACAUUUUAAAAAGCUAUAAAAGGAAAGAUUUAUAAAUUGAACUAUCAAAUUCUAAAAAUUUUAUAUGACAAGGGACAAUUAAGCAAAAUUAAGUAUCAAGUGUGAUAAAGGACCAGUACAGAGACUAUAUAAAGAACACUUGUAAACUAUUAAGGCAAUUCAGUUUUUUUUUAAUGGACAAAAAAACCUAUGAACAAAUGAUUUUUGGAAAUAGAAAUAUUAAUGGUCAAAAGAAAAAAGAUGUUUAUAGUCCAAAAAAAUGAAAAUUAUACCAUAAUUUGCUGCAGUAAGAGGUCAUUUUUCCAUCUAUCAGACGAACAAAUUUAAAGUUUAUGAAGUGUUGGCAAAGCUUGGGAAAGUGAUAAGGGUUUCUUGAUGGUGAACUUAUGAAUUGGUAUAGCUACUUUGGAGGACGAUUUGUUAACAUUGUCUAAAAUUCAAAUUACAUCUUGCGACCCAGCAAUGAUGAGCUUGCUUCCUCGAACCCAGUUGAGGGAGAGAGUCUCCUGGAAAGAAGGACACUAUAGUCCUAUGUAAUAUAAUCAUGGAAAUGACAUCCCAUCCUCUUUGCUGUAUUUUGACAGCAGCAAAUCACAAGUCCUGCCCACACUCAAGGCAAGAGGAUUUCACAAGAGCGUCUGUCACCAGUGUCUAUGUCCCCAGAGGGAACCACAGCCACUCCCCAGUCUCCAGGUGGCUCACCAAGACCAGCAGUAACUGCAAGAAAUGACCAUCUGGACAAAUGCCCAACAGGACUCUUCUCUAAAGUUUCUCCCUGUUUUAAGACUCGAGGCCGUGCCUUAAUGAGGCCCAACUCCACUGUCCGGCCACUAUUUGAGUAACCUGCUAAUCAGAUGGAAUUCUGAAGAGUGCUACAAUUUGCAGUUGGCAGCUUUGGCAACCAGGAGGGGACACAGAAUAGACUUCUCUUCUUCUCUUCCUCACCUGAACGUUACAAGGAUGUGGAACCUUGAUGCGAGCAAGGCCCCUUGUGCUCAUUCACUUCUUCAGCAAGUCUGACAAAUCUGGAUCUUCAAGAAGAUUCAUAAAAAGGACUUUUUGACAAAUAUGUUUCAGAUGAUUCCACUGAACUGGGUGAGAUUAUGAAACUCUAAUGGAAAACCUGAUGGCUUAAUAAAACUACUAACAAAAAAGUCAAAGUCAACAAGAAUUAAUUACCUGGGACUGAAUGAAUUGGUAAAUAUGACUUACAAUGUUAUGGGUGUUUGCCUGAAAUAUUACUGGCUUUCAAUCUUUGUUUCCAAGAUAUGAGGAAACCUUUUCUCUCAUGCCAACUAUGAUUUGCACAAGUUGAUAAAGUAUACAUUUGUAACGAAGAUGAAACAUUUAUCUUUUGCUCUCUACCUGAUCCCUUCCCUCUGGACGUGGUGGCUUACCGUGAUCUGCAUUACAACCAGUCAUACUAAUCAUUGUCAUCAUUUGUUCUCUCUUUGUUAUUUUCAAACUAUUUAUGCUUUAUCUCCCUCAUUGCUGAACUAUGACCUUAAAAAUACUACUACCUAUAUUAUUUAUAUCCUGACUAUUUUAUAAGAUUGUUGUUUCUUGCAUUACCCUCUGUGCAGCCAGUUCAAUAACAAAGUGAAUGAUGGCUAAACCUCUUGGGGCAAUCAAUCACAUAUAUAGCUCUAUAUUAAAUUCACUGGAAUGAUGUGACUCUAGAUGUGGGUGGAGGCAAUAAGGGAAAAAGAUUUCUUGGAUCAUUAUAAACUACGUAGUAAGACAUACAACCCAGAGAAUUUUUUGGUUAUUAACAGGGCCUGAUUCAGAUAUAGCACAGGAAUGACCUAUCAGUGAAAUCCUGUCCUUAAGGAGGAAUGAGCCUUCCUAUAACCAUGAGACAAAUUAGUCAUCAAGUGCCUCCAAAAAUUUGGUUAAAUUUAUGACCAAAAAGCAGGAAGCUGUAAACAAAAAGAACAGUCUCCCUCAUUACCCCAUUAAAGAAAGGGUUAAAGUGCAACCCCCUGCAGUCACCCACUGACAGUGCCCCCUGAGGGGAAUUCAGGAUAAAAUAUUCUGGGUUUGGAUAUAAAGGCCCCUUAGAAACUCAGGAUCGAUAUCUUAGAAAGAAUCUCAUUGACCUCAGAUUCAUGUUUUAGAAAAGCACCAAAAUCAUUAAAUCAAGUAUUUGUUUCCUGAUGAUUAGCAGUAAUCUUUCACCAAAAUACAUGCUUAACUAUAUGUAUUUGCCUGUCAAAAAAUUCAGAAUCCACUGUCUUCUUCCCUGCUUCUUCAGAGCAUUCCUCAGAGCUAUUUAAAAGGCUGUCUCCAAGGCUGUCUCCAAGGCUGUAUUUCUCAGUGAAGUCCCCAAAUAAAACGGAAACUUAAUUGCAA